UCCCAUGUGGCUCAGUUGGUAGAGCAUGGUGUUUGCAACGCUAUGGUUGUGGGUUCGAUUCCCACAGGGGGAC
rfam:Salmo salar isolate Sally breed double haploid chromosome ssa27, whole genome shotgun sequence.